GCAGUGGUAUUUUAGUGGCAGAAUUUUCAUCUUCCAUGCAGGAGACCUGGGUUCAAUUCCCAGCCAGUGUA
rnacentral:tRNA from 1 species